GAUGAACGCUAGCGGCAGGCCUAAUACAUGCAAGUCGAGGGGCAGCGCGGUAGCAAUACUGGCGGCGACCGGCGCACGGGUGCGUAACACGUAUGCAACCUACCUUCAACUGGAGGAUAGCCCGGGGAAACUCGGAUUAAUACUCCAUAACACAGGGAUCCCCGCAUGGGAAUAUUGUUAAAGCUACGGCGGUUGAAGAUGGGCAUGCGUUCGAUUAGCUAGUUGGUGUAGGUAACGGCUCACCAAGGCUACGAUCGAUAGGGGGUCUGAGAGGAUGAUCCCCCCACACUGGUACUGAGAUACGGACCAGACUCCUACGGGAGGCAGCAGUAGGGAAUAUUGGUCAAUGGGGCGCAAGCCUGAACCAGCCAUGCCGCGUGCAGGAAGAAGGCCCCUCUGGGGUUGUAAACUGCUUUUGAUAGGGAACAAAUGCCACUUGCGAGUGGAGCUGAGUGUACCUAUAGAAUAAGCACCGGCUAACUCCGUGCCAGCAGCCGCGGUAA
rnacentral:rRNA from 1 species